rnacentral:rRNA from 1 species
AUUGAACGCUGGCGGCAGGCCUAACACAUGCAAGUCGAACGAGUGGCGGACGGGUGAGUAAUGUCUGGGAAACUGCCCGAUGGAGGGGGAUAACUACUGGAAACGGUAGCUAAUACCGCAUACCAUCGGAUGUGCCCAGCUGGGAUUAGCUAGUAGGUGGGGUAAAGGCUCACCUAGGCGACGAUCCCUAGCUGGUCUGAGAGGAUUACCAGCCAAACGGGAACUGAGACACGGGCCAGACUCCGACGGGAGGUAGCAGUGGGGAAUAUUGCACAAUGGGCGCAAGCCUGAUGCAGCCAUGCCGCGUGUAUGAAGAAGGCCUUCGGGUUGUAAAGUACUUUCAGCGGGGAGGCGUUACCCGCAGAAGAAGCACCGGCUAACUCCGUGCCAGCAGCCGCGGUAAUAC